rnacentral:rRNA from 1 species
CCUACGGGAGGCAGCAGUGGGGGAUAUUGCACAAUGGAGGAAACUCUGAUGCAGCGACGCCGCGUGAGGGAAGACGGUCUUCGGAUUGUAAACCUCUGUCUUGGGGGAAGAAAAUGACGGUACCCAAAGAGGAAACUCCGGCUAACUACGUGCCAGCAGCCGCGGUAAUACGUAGGGAGCGAGCGUUUUCCGGAAUUCCUGGGGGUAAAGGGAGCGUAGGGGGGAAAGAAAGUUGAUGGUUAAACCUACCGGCUAAACUGGUAGCUGCGUUCGAAACUUCUUGUCUUGAGUGAAGUAGAGGCAGGCGGAAUUCCUAGUGUAGCGGUGAAAUGCGUAGAUAUUAGGAGGAACACCAGUGGCGAAGGCGGCCUGCUGGGCUUUAACUGACGCUGAGGCGCGAAAGCGUGGGGAGCAAACAGGAUUAGAUACCCCGGUAGUC